CGCAUCCCUUCCGAUUGCGUCUCCUCCCGUUGUAUAAAAGGGCAGAUCUCUGUCAUCAUUGAAUAAGAAUCUCAUUUUCUUCAAACACAUUUAAUCUGGAUUACUUACAACAGGCGCAUAACGAUAGCAUAGCCGACUGUUUCAAUGGCAUCAUUGUUGCAUCAUAAUCGCACAAAUCAAGUGCACAUAGCAUGGUCGGGCUGGAUGCAUUGAUCAGGCUUUCCAGAAAUAACUUCAAAUAUGACAGAUGGUUAUCUAACUCAUAGUCUGAGUAUACCGUCCUUGCAUGUGUUCUGAUUACAUCCCUGCUUGAGGUACAUGACUAACACGAUGGUAUAUGGGUCCCUAGAGACACAAAAUCCUGCUGCAUUUUUUAAAUGAAAAAGUCUGAACAAUAUGGCCAUCGAAUUCUCAAGAAUCAAGAUUUGGACAAAGCUAAUAUGCUUAGAAGACAAGAAUGAUACUUCACAGUUUUGUAUGCAUGAAAUCAGUAUUUCAUCCUCCCUAAUGAUAUGAGUGAUUAUAUGGGCACAACAAUAAGGGCAGUACUUUGAUUCAUGUAGUUUUGGGGACAUGUUUUUUUUCUUGACAUACACAUGUUUUUUUUUAUCGGAAAGGCAGAUGCUCUGCCUUUUCAUUAAAGUAAAUAGAAAACUGUACACACUGAGAUAACCUCAGCAAGAAAAUCGAAAGAAAGUGGUCCGAUGCUGCACAAAACAGCCCGGCUGUACAUGCCUCACAAGACUACUUCCUGGCCUCCAUAAGGAGGCCUAUAUCAUCUCUAAUGAGCAAGCAAACCCCCUCAGCUGACUUCUGCUCAUUUCGAAAGAUACGUCUGUUACUCUCCUUCCAAAUCUUCCAAGCCACAUAGAUCGCUGCCACACAUUCAUCUACCCCCCUCCUUUUUUGCUUGAGCAACAAGGUUUUGUCCCACCAAUCAUUAAUCGAAGUGGCAUGUGUUAGGUUGAUCUCUCCGCGUGGGCCCAACGGCCCACAGGACCCUUGAUCUAUAUGCGCCCCGAUCGGGGGUCGUCCAACCCGUUAUGGUUGGUCGGCCCCUGUGACCCGCGCUAUAUAAACAGAGGUGGGGCCGGGGCACGACUUACGACAUCCGUCGCCCCCACACUCCCCACCUACACGCCCUACCGAUAUAGGCUA